rnacentral:rRNA from 1 species
ACGGGAGGCAGCAGUGAGGAAUAUUGGUCAAUGGGCGGAAGCCUGAACCAGCCAAGUCGCGUGAAGGAGGAAGGUCCUAUGGAUUGUAAACUUCUUUAGCCGGGGAGCAAUAAGCGCCACGUGUGGCGCGAUGCGAGUACCCGGAGAAUAAGGAUCGGCUAACUCCGUGCCAGCAGCCGCGGUAAUACGGAGGAUCCGAGCGUUAUCCGGAUUUAUUGGGUUUAAAGGGUGCGCAGGCGGUCGAUUAAGUCAGUGGUCAAAUCGUGGUGCUCAACGCCAUUCCGCCAUUGAUACUGGUUGACUUGAUUCCGGUCGAGGCAGGCGGAAUUCGUGGUGUAGCGGUGAAAUGCAUAGAUAUCACGAAGAACUCCGAUUGCGUAGGCAGCUUACCAGGCCGGCAAUGACGCUCAUGCACGAAAGUGCGGGGAUCGAACAGGAUUAGAUACCCUGGUA